UGACAUUUACCAGCAAUUCGAGAUCCAUCAACGAAAAUCUUUGUCUCGAUACUACUUUGCAACAUCCGUUGCUCCCGACGGUGUACCACCAGAGUUCCUUAAGAGAAAAGGUUGGACAGUUGAGUACUCGACAUCCGAAGACUAUGGUCUGAGAGAUGAUGCAAAAGGGAUUAACGCUAAGCUUCGUUCCGAGCUUCCUAGUGAUCUGAACAUAAGCGUUGCGGUGGGGAACUGGUACGUACCUUUCAUAUUCGUGAAGGAUGGAGACGCAAAGGAUCAGCUUAAGAGCUCAACUUAUUACAGAAUGACUCUUUACCAAAAAUGGGAGGAGGUUUACUC
rnacentral:lncRNA from 1 species